rnacentral:rRNA from 1 species
UACAGAGGGUGCAAGCGUUGCUCGGAAUUACUGGGCGUAAAGGGCGUGUAGGCGGUUUUGUAUGUCUGGCGUGAAAGCCCCGGGCUCACCUCGGGAAGUGCGUUGGAAACUGCAAGACUAGAGUCCCGGAGAGGAAGGUGGAAUUCCAGGUGUAGCGGUGAAAUGCGUAGAUAUCGGGAAGAACACCGGUGGCGAAGGCGGGUCUCUGGGCAUUUCCUGACGCUGAGGCGCGAAAGCGUGGGGAGCAAACGGG